rnacentral:rRNA from 1 species
UACGAAGGGGGCUAGCGUUGUUCGGAAUUACUGGGCGUAAAGCGCACGUAGGCGGGUCGUUAAGUCAGGGGUGAAAUCCCAGAGCUCAACUCUGGAACUGCCUUUGAUACUGGCGACCUAGAGUCCGGAAGAGGUUAGUGGAAUUCCCAGUGUAGAGGUGAAAUUCGUAGAUAUUGGGAAAAACACCAGUGGCGAAGGCGGCUAACUGGUCCGGUACUGACGCUGAGGUGCGAAAGCGUGGGGAGCAAACAGG